CAGCCGCCGCGGGAAUACGUAGGUGGCAAGCGUUGUCCGGAAUUAUUGGGCGUAAAGGGCUCGCAGGCGGUUUCUUAAGUCUGAUGUGAAAGCCCCCGGAUCAACCGGGGAGGGUCAUUGGAAACUGGGAAACUUGAGUGCAGAAGAGGAGAGUGGAAUUCCACGUGUAGCGGUGAAAUGCGUAGAGAUGUGGAGGAACACCAGUGGCGAAGGCGACUCUCUGGUCUGUAACUGACGCUGAGGAGCGAAAGCGUGGGGAGCGAACAGGAUUAGAUACCCCUGUAGUCCCUGUCUCUUAUAC
rnacentral:rRNA from 1 species